UUUUUUUUUCGUACUUUUUUUUUUCCCACUCCCGCCCCCCCCCCCCUUCUUUUGCGGGGGAGGAGGCCAGGCCGCAGAGCCCGCCCCCACCACGGCGCAGCCCUGCCCCCGGUCCGGGGGGAAGAAGGAGGAAGAAAAACAGAGCCCCGGCGGGGUGGGGGGGGGGGGGGGAGGGGGCGGCGAACGCCCUGCGGUGCGAAGGCUGAGCGAGGCCCCAGCCCCUCACCUGCUCUGUCCGGUACUGAGGCUCAGCACGGCGGGCAUAAUGGUGCUUUUAUUCCCCUCCUUCUCUCUAGCGAAGCAGUGACUGUUGAGUAUCCGCUGCAGGGAGGAUUUCACCAUCCGGCCGCUCUGGUCCGAACCCCGAAACCCUCCGCUGCCUCCCGCCGGCCGCUCUCCAGGCGCUGCUACACAAAAUGGCCCCCCAGCCGCGGUGGGUCCUUAUAUACCCUCUGUACGGCCACGCCCCCAUAUGGUACCGCCCCCCGGAUCAGGCCACGCCCCCAACCGGAGAGAGCUCCCGUGCGGGAACAGCCCAACUGUCACUCAGAAAACCUUGUUUCCCAUUGGCUGAAGGGAGUGCGAGGGCGGGACAUCGAGCUCUACCGCUAUUGGCCGGCAGCGCGAGGAGUUCAGCGCUGGUUGGAAAGGCGACGAGACUGGGAAUCACGGAGAGCUCCGAUUGGCUGGGCCUCCGCGGGUGGGCGGGAUCUGGCGGGGCGGGGUGGGCUGGGCUGGGCGGCUUCGGCCCCGUGCCGCAGCCCUCGCCGAUCUCAGGGCCGCCGGUUCGAGUCCCGCGUCCGGCGCCUCCGCCUUGCUGAGGCACCACAUCCAACUUCUCCUUGAACACCCCCAGGGACGGGGACUCCACCACCUCCCUGGGCAACUCGUCCAAUGCCUGACUGCUCUUUCUGAGAAGAAAUGCCUCCUAAUUUCCAACCUCAGCCUCCCCUGAUGCAACCUGAGGCCAUUCUCUGUAGUCCUACAAGCUGGAUGCUGAGAGAAACGUUAAAUCAAAAAAUAUUAACCAGUCACCAAAGUACAGGGCAGGGAGUCCCAGUGUGACCUCUUUUUGGUGCACCUGUCCUUGGUGGAUGCUAGAAUCACAACAUCGCGUUUGCCUUCAGUUUAUGUUUUAUUCUGGCCACUGUGCGGUGUAAAAUUUUAAAGUUGUCUGGGUAGUGACUCUUAGCAACCUGAACAGAAAAAACUCUCAUGCUUCAAUGAGGAAGCAAAUAAAGGCUGGUUAUUUACACAGCAGACGCUAACCUGCUGCCCGAGCCCCAUGAUGAACAAUCUGUAACGCUCCCCUGAUAACUCGCACAGCGCUUCUGAUCUCCUGCAAGAGCUUUGGGAACCCGAGGCUUCGAGGCACAGCUGGGUCUUUGCACCCCACCGCAAGAGCAAGGUCUGGAGGAAAGGCUGAGUGUUUCAGACAACCCAGAUCUCUUCUGGACAAUACAGGUGUAAAUGCCUUCUUAAACUGAAAAGAAAGCAGCAGUCAAAUAUGUACGAAAAGUAAAUACAUGAGAAUUCCCUGGUCCAAUCUUUGACUCAGUCAGUUCUGAACAUUUCAGCCUAUUGCUUAUGAGGUGAUACCAUCCCCUUUCUAAAAGCCAAGUCAGAAGCACAUCGUGCAAGUCAGGGCACAUCCUAAGUGGUGGAUGUUACUGUCCUACAUGGAAAGAAAGCUAAAAUAAAGGUUUACAUGAUGCUGAAUUGAAUUUGUGGGCAGGUAUGCCUUGUAAAUGAAGUGGAAAAAAAGAUUUUUAUAGAGCCAAAGAAGAAUACUGAAGAUACAUUGUAAUGUUUUUAAAAAAAUAAAAUCAUGGUUUUGUAUAAGAAUGUAGAUGUCUGUAUUCUUUUUUUUUUGUUCAACCCAGACUACAACAAGCCUGUUUAUUGCCUUCAGGUAUUGUAGCUGCAUCUGAAUAUACAUAUAUAAUAUUUUGAUUGUGUUGUUUAUAUUUAUUUCCUAUAAAUGUCCCCAUCCAGGAGCUCUGAGCACAUGGAUAAACCAUUGAUUGGUUCCACUUUGAACAAGAAUAAGUGUCUAAAUCCCCACCCUCCUUCUGUGUCCUGAAGCUGCUCUGAUUUACUGUGAUGGAACAAAGUGUAUUGCCAAACAAAAACAUUGUCUGUUUUCCUGCAGCUUAGAUGACAAGCCUAGCCUGGCCAGCAGCCAGUGACUAGUCUGAGAGUCGUGGUAAGUAAGAGUUACAAGAGAAAAAGCCUUUUCCUGCUGCAGGUGUCUGCACUUAGCUCCCAGAACACAAAAUAAAUGCGAUGUUGGUGCUUUCAUCAUACUCUCUACGUGUGGCUGUUGAUUUAUGGAUGGGAAGCUGAUUGCCAUUUAAUGCAUUACCCAGAGACCAACUUGAAACAAUAGGAUAGCUGCAACUCAGGAAUAUUUGGACCAAAUGAAGCACAUCAGAG
rnacentral:lncRNA from 1 species